UCCUUUCCUUCCUUCUUUCUUUCUCCCUCACCCCCCUUUCUCACGCACACAGCAGCCCCAUCCCUUUUUCCCCAUUUCUCCUCCUUUGUCUCACUCAUUCUUCUCCCCCACACACAUACACAUGGCCUAGUGGGAGAGAGAACGAACUUGAGUGGGAGAAAGGGAGCUGCUGCCGUGAGAAAGAAAGGAGAAGAAGAAGAAAAAAAAAAAAAAGAGGAAAUUGAAAAUUUUAGGAGGAUUCGGCCAAGUGUACUUGUGAGGUGUCUUGCGGUUGAGUCAAGAGUUCACCGGAGGGUACUCAACUAAACAAGAUAAGUAUUUUACUUACUGGGCAAAAGAUACUAUAUUUUAAGGUUUAAAAUGUGUUUUGUGAUGCUUUGCCAAUUUAAUGAUGUUUCAUGAAAUAUUUGAUGAAAGGUUUCUAUGAGCUUUUAUGAGCUUAUGAGAUAAAAUGAUGUUUAUGUCAUGAGUAUGAUUCUAUGAAAUGAUUCAUAAAAUAGCAUAUGAGCAUUUAUAGCAUGAGCAUGGAUGAUAUAAAGGAGAUAAUGUUAUAUUAUGUAUAUAUACGCACGACGGAUGAUAUGAAGGAGAUGAUGUUAUAUUAUGUAUAUAUAUAUGCAUGACGGAUGAUAUGAAAGAGAUGAUGUUAUAUUAUGUAUAUAUGUAUGGUGGAUGUUAUGAGGAGAUGAUGUUAUGUUAUGUAUAUAUGCAUAGCGAAUGUUUUGAGGAGAUGAUGUUAUGUUAUGUAUAUAUGCAUGGCGAAUGUUAUGAGGAGAUGAUGUUAUGUUAUGUAUAUAUGCAUGGCGAAUGUUAUGAGGAGAUGAUGUUAUGUUAUGUAUAUAUGCAUGGCGAAUGUUUUGAGGAGAUGAUGUUAUGUUAUGUAUAUAUACAUGGCGAAUGUUAUGAGGAGAUGAUGUUAUAUUAUGUAUAUAUGCAUGACGAAUGUUAUGAGGAGAUGAUGUUAUGUUAUGUAUAUAUGCAAGGCGGAUGUUAUGAGGAGAUGAUGUUAUAUAUGUAUAUGUAUGGAUGAUAUGAAAAGAUGAUGUUGCAUGAGCAUGUAUAGCAUAUGAUUUUAUGAUAAUGAUGACUAUCAAUAUGUUUUAUUGUUAAGCUAAUUAAAUUGUAAGUAUAUUUUCAAAUGAUGGUUAUUUGGAAAGCGUAGUAAUUUCUAUACUACUAAGCGUCUCUAUUUCAUGGAGACGGCGGGCUCAUAAAUCCGCCUGCAUCAUGGGUGGUGGUGAUUCCCGUGGUGCAGGCGAUGUGGUUAAUGUUGAUGCAGGUGCAGGGAUUAUUGAGGAUGACCCAGUAGCUAUGUAUUUGGGUUACUACAACGUUUGAAGCAUAGUUGCAUCAAAUGUUAUUUUGUUGGACUAGAUAAUAGCCCGUUUUUGUAGAGCUUACAUGUAUAUGCUUAGACUUUGUUAUUUUGUAUAUGGUUCAUGUCGUAUGUGAAACUUUUGUAUAGCCAUUCUUUUGUAUGUAAGUUUUAAUCACUUAGAUGUAUUAAUCAGCUCUGAUGUGUUAUAUUA